AAAAAGAGGAGGGAAAAAGAAAGAGCAGAAAGUAGAACAUGUGAAGGAAAAGGGCAGCAAAGAAAGAGGAAAUGCAGAGAAAGGAGAAACAAGUGCUGGAAGUAAAGGAGUAGAUGGUGGGGGAGGAGGCAGCACAAAGAGAUCCGACGUACAGGGCUUUUAGGAAGAGCAAUGAACAUGUAUCAGAAGAGAAAAUCAGCUGCUGCUUGGGAAGCAACCGGGAAGUUUGCUCCUUCCUCACAAGACUGAGGGUGUAAUUAGAACCACGCACCUGCUCAGUCCUCCGGUGACUCAAGCCUGGAAUCUCCUGUGUUAGAACACUUCACUGCUCCCAGAAGGCCCUGUAAGAUCCCAGGGAGGCAGCAGCCAACAGAGGAUAUUCACUAAAGACCAAGCAGCAGAGCAGCACUUUGGUACUCCCUGAAGACAGCAGAAAUGAGAGGAAAUGUCCACUAAGAAUAAGUCUCCCGUGAAAUGUUACAUGUACUCGGCAAACUCCUGAACCCACUGCUGCCACGGAAAACUCUUGCUGAUGGGUAGCUCCGAGAACUCACUCUCCAAUUAUGUACCACAGAGCUAUGGAUGUGUUUUUAUUGAGGAGAAUAAAAACCACAAGAAGUGCUCUACAACAGACCACAAAAUGGGUUUGGCACCUGUGUCUGCUCGGAGCCGAAGUUUCGGAGUUGUGUUAUCACGUGGCCCGCUGACCUCAGGAGAGCAGGGCUGACCUUGUCUUACACACAGAAGUCUAUUGCUAUGACUCCCCUGAGAGCACAA